CCUACGGGUGGCAGCAGUGAGGAAUAUUGGUCAAUGGACGAGAGUCUGAACCAGCCAAGUAGCGUGAAGGAUGACUGCCCUAUGUGUUGUAACUUCUUUUAUAUGGGAAUAAAAUGUUCCACGUGUGGGAUUUUGUAUGUACCAUAUGAAUAAGGAUCGGCUAACUCCGUGCCAGCCGACGCGGUAAUACGGAGGAUCCGAGCGUUAUACGGAUUGAUUGGGUUUAAAGGGUGCGUAGGUGGUUUGUUAAGUCAGUUGUGAAAGUUUGCGGCUCAACCGUAAAAUUGCAGUUGAAACUGGCAGGCGUGAGUACAGUAGAGGUGGGCGGAAUUCGUGGUGGAGCGGUGAAAUGCUUAGAUAUCACGAAGAACUCCGAUUGCGAAGGCAGCUCACGGGACUGCAACUGACACUGAGGCUCGAAAGUGGGGGUAUCAAACAGGAGUAGAUACCCGUGUAGUC
rnacentral:rRNA from 1 species